GGUCCACUAAUUAAGAGCGACGCCCGUUUAGCAGGCCACCUAGUGUCGCUUCCUGAUUUGUGAUGACUCAAGCAAACUUUGGAUCUGCCGGAGACUUCGACUUGGACUCCACUACUCGACUCUAUUAAUACCAGAGUGCUGGAUUGCCCCUCCCGGCAAAAAACCCGAGAUUUAUGGCUUCCACUGGGAAUGCGUGGGAUGCUAUAGUAGGACUUGGACUGCGGCCCACACAUCGGCGGAUGCUUUGUCCACACAUUUGGAUAUGUGGGUGAGCCAGUACAUAUACUCUGAUCUCAGUGCUGCGCAAAACACGCAAUCACCUCUGGAUAAAACCGCACUAAGCAAAAUCCAUUCAAGAUGAGUUGAGGAAAAGUCAAGUCAAGAACGACGACGCGCGUGGCAUCCCAUGGGUGGAAAUUUCAAUAAACGAGCAUCGUGUGAAAACACGAUGGUUUCUUAAAUUCAUCAAUACCAACAGCUUCAAUGAUUACCGCCGCUGGCGAUCAGUGCACAUUGCAACUGAAAUGCCUUGGAAAAAUGUUUUUCUUUGUGCAUAUUUCCUGCUUAAUUGAAAAGCAACAAGAUGGUAAUGACAACGCAAACUUCAACGGAUGUAUUUGUGCAAACAAAUGGACACGUUUCUGUUUUUAUAAGCAAGUGGAGCUGUCAAGGACAU